AUCCCUCAAGCCCAUCCUUCAACUUCCAUCCUUCAACCCCCAUCCCUCAACCCCAUCCUUCAACUUCCAUCCUUCAACCCACAUCCUUCAACCCCCAUCCUUCAACCCCAUCCUUCAACCCCAUCUUUCAACCCCCAUCCUUCAACCCCCAUCCUUCAACCCCAUCCGUCAACCCCAUCCUUCAACCCCCAUCCUUCAACCCCCAUCCUUCAACCCCCAUCCUUCAACCCCAUCCCUCAAUGCCAUCCUUCAGUCCCCAUCCCUCAACACCAUCCUUCAACCCACAUCCUUUAACCCCCAUCCUUCAAACCCCAUCCUAACCCAAGAAAGGAAAGCAGAUGCUCUGACGGGUUUAUCUACAUUGUAUUAUGUUCAGUUUAAAGACAUGAACGGUCUGUUGUCCUGUUUCAGGUCAACUUGAUUGGUUUAUGUCUCUAUUUGUGGAAAGGUAUCAAAUGAAGGAGCAUAUUUAUAUUUAAAUUGAAUCAUAAAGUGCUGAUGAACAGAUUUUAUGCUUAAAUGAGUUUGAGGCUUCGACCUCUGCUGAUAUGAGACUUCUUUAAUGCGAUCACAGUCGGUCAAGGUAUUGGCCAUAAAAUAAUUUUGACCUUUUUGCGAGCCGAUGUGCAACAAGAAGCUUUGUCACAGCCUCUGAACCGACUUGGUGGCUAUCCGCUGGCAUCCGGCCCGUGAAGGAAUGAGAUUCUGUUUCAUUCACGUCACAGUGAGAGGGAGCGGGCGACCGAGGUGAUCGGCAGCGGCGUCGCAAACAAUCGCCCGCGGGACGUUGGUACAGAUGGAGGUUUACUGCCACGAGGAAAACCUGGUGCCCGUGUGUAGAGGUCACCCUGUGCCUUUUAGGAGACACAUUUCAGAACUUAGACCCAUUUCAUCCACCUUUUCCAUCAUUCUAAUCGAUUGCAGCCAAAAACUCAUAACUUGCUUCAGUGAGGACGCGUUGGCUGGCUGAGUGCAGCUCUGCCUCGCGUUCCUUAAGGGGCCACAAGCCACAAUACUCCAACAAACAUUGAUUACUGGGUCUAUACUGGUAAAAAAAAAUCUGAGUGAACAUGAUCUGGUCAUGCGUCUCAACGUUUUUUUGUAUUUUUGCUGAGAAACUUUUAAAAUGUAUGGGUCAAUGACAAAAAAGGUAUCUAAAAACAUAGUUAUAAGUUUUAACUAUGUGGUUAAUUAAACUAGUAUAGGUUGUUAUUGGUAAAAUACACAUAUAUUUUUUAAAUGUUUUGAAAACAUGUUAUAAUGUCAUAAUGGAAAAAAUAUAUAUCCCAGGGUAGUACUCUUGUUUCGUAUGAAAAGAAACCUAAUAUAGAUAAUAAAAUUAAAGUCGUGACAUCCUUCAACAUGUUAAAAAAACAGAAGAUAAAUAAGAAUAUUAAAGAAGCUUUGGAGUUUGGGGCAAAUGAAAUUAGAUUUUGGUGAUGACACCUCAGAAUAAGAGUGUCUGUGUUCACUUUCAGAGGGAGUCUGAGGAAAAUGUCAGCAAACAGAAAUGUACUGUAAGGAUUUUCAUUUGUGCAGGAAGAGCAGAUCUCAACAAGGCGAGUUGGGGCUCGAGAUGAAACCUGUCAGUUUUAUCAAGUGAAGCGUCAGCAUCUUUGUAGCACGUUGUGUUAUUUUCGACGAUAAAAAGAGAGAGAACGGAUGGAGUUUGUUCGAAAAUCGUCCCCAUGUUCACAUGUUCAGCACGUACUGCGUGCGUGAGUUAAUCGAGCCCAGUAAGGCCAAAGGGGGGGUCGAAUAAUGUCUGACAACGAUGUGGAUGGACUCCAUCGUUUCCCUUAUCCAGAGCAACCAGCAGCACGCUGAGACGGACCAGGAGCUAGCUAUGCUAAGCUAGCUCCUGAAGGUUUAGCGAAUGUAUACUGGUGAUUCUUCUCUCUUUAAUGCAGCGAGUGAAAACCUGGCUUGGCGUAGCGAGGGGUCCACUCGGUUUCAUCGAUAAAGCAGCUUUUCUUUUGCUAAAACAAGAUGAGAAAAACGUAUCCCGACCCCGGGCCGCGCCGGAGGUGUCAAAGGGCUGAGAUUGAGUGUGAAGCAGAUAAGAUAGCAGCAGGAAACGCUUCCUUGAUUAAUAUCUCUGUCUGUUAUUUUUUGCCGUUUGGAAAAUGUGUCCUGAAAGUUGUUAUUCACUGCUAUUCGCAUUCACUUAAUGAAUUAACAUUGAAUUAACACCUCUGCUGCUGUUUUUCACCACAGCAGAGGUGUUACUUCAUUGACAAGACUGUACGGUUCCUUAUUAACACGUUAAUUUUGAGGACAAUUUCUCUCCAUGGUUCCACCUCAACGUAGACGACGUUUCAUUGUAAAGACGAGGGAUUUCAAAUGUUGUUGUCAACCAUGGAAAUAUAAAUGACUGCGGAGAUGAAUGAAAGCGAGCAGCUGCAGACGUCUGGCCUGCUUUCUACUGAGACGGAGACUGAGGAAAGAGAAGAUAAACUAAACCUGUCAAAUUAACAACCCGAUAUUUAAUUUUGGGGAGAGAGGGGAGGCCAGGGGUGACAGCGGAGUUAAUUAAUGUCCAUAGAUCACGGCCGGGGAGUUUGUUUCUCUUUAGUGGAGAUAAUAAUAGAUGCAAGGAGCAAUUUAAGUCUCUCCAUUUUGUUCAGUAGUUAGAGGCUCAAUCACAACUUGAUUUUUAAUUGGAGUUCAGGGAAAGGAAGUGAGGGACAGAGGGGAGGGACAGAGGGGAGGGACAGAGGGGGUGGAUCGGCAGAAGUAAUGAUUAUGCUUAAAAUAAGAUCUGUUGCUGCAGACUGAAUUCUAACACUGAGACCUGAAGAGACGUUUCUUUAUUUCACUGUGUCCUUUUGAGACGCGCCGGAGAGACGAUUCAUCUCCGCGAGAGACGCAGAGCGGCGGCGUCGCGAGGACGGAGGAACGCUGCGAGCCGAGCAUUCAUCGCCCGUCCCCCUCGUCCCUCCACCCACGGGUGGUGACAUCACUGUGGACGAGUCCUGAGGCCAAACCAGGUCUCCAGCUGCAGCGGAGGGGCAGAAGAAAGAAAGAAAGAAGUUGCUGUUGUGUUUGUAUCCACAUCUUAUUAUGUUCCAUCCUGGUCGUGUUAAGCUUCCUCCUUCUGUUGCCGGAGGAGGAGUUUGAUAUUUUUUGAAUGCUGCAAAGACACCAGGAACCUGCUUAAUGUGCUCCUGUAUUCAUAUAUUUGUUGUCCAUAAGCAGCAGACACUCAGAGCAGAGAUCUGUUGUUGUUGUUGUCACUUAUGUCUUUCCUAAUGUUCCUUCUCCUUUUAAAGAUGUGUUAAUAACAAUUAACUUUGCAUAUUUUUCAGUAAUAGUUGAAUAUGCAUCAAUAUGCAGAUCUUAUUGUGGAAGUUUUCAGCUUUUUGUCAGAUUUUUAUACAAAGCUUUUCUUCAUGGUGUUUCUGUCUUUGACGUCAGGAUCGAGCAGGACCUUUUCCAACCCACUGUCUUUUAGGGACACAUGGUUUUCCUCUUUUUACAGUUGAAUUUUUCUCAUCUCUACCUUUGUUUUCGUGCCGUCACCAUCUCGGUUACUAAGAAGUGAAAUGCAAAAGACAGGUAGCACAUCCGUUUACUCCUCAGUACACAUUUUGUCGUGUCGAUUCCAGAACUGUGAAAGACCAAUAUUGCUUUCCUUUUCUUUUCUGUUUUUUUCUUUCUCUCAGAUUUCAAAUUGCGGUCUCCGCAAUUCCCCCCAGAAAAUGAUCAAACGUAAAAUAUUCCCCCAGCUGAUUGGAAGGCUCCUGCAGGUAAAGUGUCACACAGCAGCGCUCUUUGCAGUCUGGAUGCAUCCAGGAUUUAUGGUGAGCUCUUAGCAAUUAUAAUAGCAUCUAAAAUUCUGCAAAUCUUUUUCUUUUCUUUUGUGUAAAGUCCACUGAGCCUAACAAUGUUUUUUAUUGGCUCAAAAUGACCCCUUCCUGUUUACAUAUUUACAUAUGCAUAUGAGUCAACUGUGUUUUUCACAGCUCAAACCAUCCUUCCUAAAUAACAGACUCACUAAGCUCUGCGAUUCUAGCAUUUUGAUUUAUUGGAGGUUUGCACUUACGGAUGCAGGCUUCACACCAGCGUUGUCUUGGUUUGAAUUUAUUGACGGACGUCCACGUGAUCUCUCCCUGUUUAUAGCACCCUUUAGAUCAACUUCACACGAUCGCUCGCUAUCUCAAACGGGAACCUGUUGAAUAUGAUUCACAAUGCUUAAUGUUCCGUGGCUCAGGAGAGAGCGGCGCACAGCAUGCUCGAAGACAGUCGGUGAAUAGAGAGCGGCUUUGGGGUGUAGAAGAUACACAAAGAUGUUCACACGUGUGAUGUGGCGGUGCUUUGAUUGGGAGAGAAAAUCAAUAAGGUAAAUAUUAAAAAGUGCUGAGUAGAAUUAUUCAGUCCUGAAUCAACCACACACUUGAGAGGUCAGACUUUAAGUGUCGUUAUUAGAGUAGUUAAAUGUCCUUUGUCUUUUUGUACACCGACGGCAAAAGAAGCCAAAGCUUCACGUCUUAACACUUGCAUUCUCCCCACUGACCAGCAGGGGGCGACUCCUCUGGUCCCAUACACGUCUAUGACAAAAUGACUCUACUUCUCUCUUGAUUUAUUCCCUCAGUAAACAUUGUAAACAUGAGUUUAUGGUCUCGAUCUCUAGUUUCUAGUGUUCUUCAACACAGCGUGAUGUUCAUUUUUUUAAAUGAUGGUCCAUUUAGAGUCAAACAGGCCAUAAAGCAGAGGACGCUUUUGGGCGGUUUUCUUUUCUGAAUCAAAAAAAGUAGUAAACUUGCACUUUUCUGUUUUUUUUGUUCUUUAUUUCAAAAUGUAAGAAAUGUGCCUCAAAGCGUUUCACACUGUCACCGCAAACCGGGAGAAACUUGUUGAGCUCGUAAUGCAAUUGAGAUUGCAGCUCUAUGGAAAUAUGAGUCUUUAGGACAAGGCGUUACAGCUAUCGCCCGCGGCAACGCAGUCGUGCUACCGCCUUGAAUUGCAUGUAAACAACAUUACAUAUUCAAACCACUUUCCCUCAUCAUACAUCACAAUCUCAGGCCUCAGGAAUAUGAAAUCCAAUGAGCGUUGAUUUGAACGUGAUAGUGAGUUAUGUUUAUUUAUUCCUUUAUUUGACAGAAACAGCUUGUUAGCAGUUAGCAGAGUUAGCUUUAGGCUAAUUCAAAUCAUUAGUCGAUAAUCGGGAAAAAGACAAUUAAAUGUAAAGUGGUACAUUUUAGGGUAUUUCCUUUGGUUUGCAUGUUCCACGUCUUAGUGUGCAUUCUGUCUCUUGUCUUCUAAACUCAAAACGUCAACGUGAGGACAGAGCGGACACACAUAGAUCCAACAAGCAGCGUGCGAUGCGUACGAUGCAGCGGAGGAGUCGGCACACGGUCUCCGUAAUGUAACACACAUCGCGCCCGGUGAGUCAGCGCGUGAUCAAUCUUGUUUUUCCUUUCUCGGCGCCGGCGGCUCUCAGAAUUAACUCAGUCACACGGAGAUGUGUAAACGGGGAGAACGAGAUGGAUUUCAGCCGGAGAGGAGAUUUGCACACCGGCCAAAAUCAAUUUACAAUGCAAAGUGGACUUUAAAAGUUGCUGUGGUAUCUGGAAAAUAAUGAUUCGAUUUCGCAAUACCAAUUAUACAGGAAAAAAUAAAAAAGAUUUUUGAUAGUUGGGUUGAUGCAUUUUUGAAUCUGUAAUAAGUAUUAUGUAGCGUGCAGCACCUGACUGAAUUCAACGUUGCUGUUUCCAGCAGGCUCUUAAUAACACUACAAUAAUAACUGUGCGACUGUGCUUCACAUCAAAAAAUGAAUCAAAGAGACGCAGAAAGCGUGCAUUUUCCACUUGAACCAAUAAUAAAUAAUAAAGUGUUUAAAGGCAAAAAAAAAAAAAGGUCAUUUGAAAGAAGCAUGUGUGACUUUGUCCUGACCUUUCAAGGAGUCGCCGCAGCCGCGCCGCUCGGCGAACGUGACGCGCGCGUGCGGCCUUGUUUUUAAAGCAGUAAUCUUUCAGAGGCAAUUGGCCCUAUCCGGCAAGCCGCCAUCUCUUAUGCCACCCGGUAACAGCUUUGCCCGGCUUCUGAUAGGCUGAGAUAGCAGAUGGCUAACGAUGACGGAUGGGUUAUUUACUGAGCUGAAACAAGGUUGUGUGAAAGAUGUGUGUGUGUGUGUGUGUGUGUGUGUGUGUGUGUCGAGGGGCGGUGACGACGGCGGUGACGGUGAUGUUUAUUUUGCUUGUUUGAUUUCUUUGUGCUUCCGCAGUCUCUUUCUUGUU
ensembl:lncRNA